rnacentral:rRNA from 1 species
AGAGUUUGAUCCUGGCUCAGAGCGAACGUUAGCGGCAGGCCUAACACAUGCAAGUCGCGCGAGAAUGGGGCUUCGGCUCCUAGUAAAGCGGCGGACGGGUGAGUAACACGUGGAUAAUCUGCCCUUCGGCGGGGGACAACAGUCCGAAAGGAUUGCUAAUACCGCAUACGUCUAAGAGGUCUUCGGAUCUUUUAGGGAAAGAUGGCCUCUUCAUGAAAGCUAUCACCGAAGGAUGAGUCCGCGUCCCAUCAGCUUGUUGGCGGUGUAAGAGACCACCAAGGCGAAGACGGGUAGCUGGUCUGAGAGGAUGAUCAGCCACACUGGAACUGAGACACGGUCCAGACUCCUACGGGAGGCAGCAGUGGGGAAUAUUGGGCAAUGGGCGCAAGCCUGACCCAGCCAUGCCGCGUGAGUGAUGAAGGCCUUCGGGUCGUAAAGCUCUGUGGAGAGGGAAGAAACCCGCUAUGGCUAAUAUCCAUGGCGAUUGACGGUACCUCUUUAGCAAGCACCGGCUAACUCCGUGCCAGCAGCCGCGGUAAUACGGAGGGUGCAAACGUUGCUCGGAAUCAUUGGGCGUAAAGCGCGCGUAGGCGGCCUGUUAAGUCGGAUGUGAAAGCCCUGGGCUCAACCCAGGAAGUGCAUUCGAAACUGGCAGGCUUGAGUAUGGAAGAGGGUCGCGGAAUUCCCGGUGUAGAGGUGAAAUUCGUAGAUAUCGGGAGGAACACCAGUGGCGAAGGCGGCGACCUGGGCCAAUACUGACGCUCAUGUGCGAAAGCGUGGGGAGCAACAGGAUUAGAUACCCNNGUAGUCC